rnacentral:rRNA from 1 species
GAUGAACGCUGGCGGCGUGCCUAACACAUGCAAGUCGAGCGAACGGACGAGACUCUUGCUUCUUUGACGUUUGCGGCGCACGGGUGUGUAACAUGUGUAUAAUCUACUUAUAUUACUGGGAUAACUUCGGGAAACCGGAGCUAAUACCGUAGGAUCUUUUGAACCGCAUGGUUCAAAAGUGAAAGUCGGUCUUGCUGUCUCCUCUAGCUGGUUCCCCGCUGCAUUAGCUAGUUGGUAAGGAAACGGCUUACCAAGGCAACGAUGCAUGGCCGACCUGAGAGGGUGAUAGGCCACACGAGAAGUGAGACACGGUCCAGACUCCUAAGGGAGGCAGCAGUAGGGUAUCGUCGGCAGUGGUCGGGAGUAUUACGGAACAGCGCCGCGUGAGUGAUGGAGGUCUUCGGAGCGUAAAACUCGGUUUUUAGGGAAGAACAUAUUUGUAAGUAACUGAGCACAGCUUGACGGUACUUAAUCAAAAAGCCACGGCUAACUACGUG